CUUUUUUAUUGCAGCGCUAAUCACUGUGAAUUUCACUUUGUUGAGUGCUGGAUUUUGUACUCAUGUAAAAGGUGCUGGGUUUCAUUCUGGCAUGGGGUUAUCUGGAGUUGUUCUGGUUUGGGUCUUGCUUUUCAAGUGUUAGGACAGAUCCAGAGGGGUCUUUUAGGACUGACUUGCCCGCGACGGAGGCAGUGCCCUUCUAAGCAGUCCACUGAGGCUCUUCCCACCCUGCUCAGGGAGCGUGAGCUCGGCCCAGCUUCUAAGCAGUCCACUGAGGCUCUUCCCAGCCUGCCCGGGGAGCGUGAGCUCGGCCCAGCUUCUAAGCAGUCCACUGAGGUUCUUCCCAGCCUGCCCGGGGAGCGUGAGCUCAGCCCAGCUUCCGAGCAGUCCACUGAGGUUCUUCCCACCCUGCCAGGGGAGCAUGAGCUCAGCCCAGCUUCUAAGCAGUCCACUGAGGCUCUUCCCUGCCUGCCUGGGGAGCGUGAGCUCGGCCCAGCUUCUGAGCAGUCCACUGAGGUUCUUCCCAGCCUGCCCGGGGAGCGUGAGCUCAGCCCAGCUUCUAAGCAGUCCACUGAGGCUCUUCCCAGCCUGCCUGGGGAGCGUGAGCUUGGCCUAGCUUCUGAGCAGUCCACUGAGGUUCUUCCCAGCCUGCCCAGGGAGCAUGAGCUCAGCCCAGCUUCGUACCAGUUCUCAGUGCCGAUCAGUCUCCAGCUUCAGGUAACUUUCUACCUGAAAAUUGUAUUGAUUGGCACUCAAGCAUAGGCCACAGAUUCUGGUGCUCGCUCACUCCUUGUGCAGCAGGAUACGCCACACUUCAGGCCCCUUCUGCCCUCCAGCAUGGAUUGGGUCCCUCAGAGUUGUGGGCCUGGCGAGGGAUAGUUGAGAAGGGGGUGGUGGGAUCUGGUCUUUCUGGAGCUAAUAGAAGCCAGGUGCAUAGUGACUGCUGGGGAGUCACUUGUACUCUGGACAUCUCUCUCCCAGCAGAGUGCUAAAGGUUGGCAAGCACGAAGAGGAACAAACCAGAAUCUUGGUCCUUGUGAGUUCAUGAUGCCCUUGAGGAAGAAACAGGGCUUUCAGUUGGCACCAGACGCCCAUCUGAGAUGGUGACGGGUCUCAGGGCGCUGCUGUGAGGUCCUCCUGAGAGUUCCAGGGACGGGGGAGUUGGGGAGGAGGUGCGGGAGGCAGAGGGGAGGAGGUUGGGGAGUGCAGAAGAGGAGCUGGGCAGGAUUCAGCCCAGGGUUCCUGUGUGCGCCAUGGGGGAGAGAACAACAACCCAUUGUUCUCCUUG
rnacentral:lncRNA from 1 species